rnacentral:rRNA from 1 species
UUAGCGGCGGACGGGUGAGUAACACGUGGGUAACCUGCCUGUAAGACUGGGAUAACUCCGGGAAACCGGAGCUAAUACCGGAUAGUUCCUUGAACCGCAUGGUUCAAGGAUGAAAGACGGUUUCGGCUGUCACUUACAGAUGGACCCGCGGCGCAUUAGCUAGUUGGUGGGGUAAUGGCUCACCAAGGCGACGAUGCGUAGCCGACCUGAGAGGGUGAUCGGCCACACUGGGACUGAGACACGGCCCAGACUCCUACGGGAGGCAGCAGUAGGGAAUCUUCCGCAAUGGACGAAAGUCUGACGGAGCAACGCCGCGUGAGUGAUGAAGGUUUUCGGAUCGUAAAGCUCUGUUGUUAGGGAAGAACAAGUGCGAGAGUAACUGCUCGCACCUUGACGGUACCUAACCAGAAAGCCACGGCUAACUACGUGCCAGCAGCCGCGGUAAUACGUAGGUGGCAAGCGUUGUCCGGAAUUAUUGGGCGUAAAGGGCUCGCAGGCGGUUUCUUAAGUCUGAUGUGAAAGCCCCCGGCUCAACCGGGGAGGGUCAUUGGAAACUGGGAAACUUGAGUGCAGAAGAGGAGAGUGGAAUUCCACGUGUAGCGGUGAAAUGCGUAGAGAUGUGGAGGAACACCAGUGGCGAAGGCGACUCUCUGGUCUGUAACUGACGCUGAGGAGCGAAAGCGUGGGGAGCGAACAGGAUUAGAUACCCUGGUAGUCCACGCCGUAAACGAUGAGUGCUAAGUGUUAGGGGGUUUCCGCCCCUUAGUGCUGCAGCUAACGCAUUAAGCACUCCGCCUGGGGAGUACGGUCGCAAGACUGAAACUCAAAGGAAUUGACGGGGGGCCCGCACAAGCGGUGGAGCAUGUGGNUUAAUUU